GCCAGACUCCUACGGGAGGCAGCAGUGGGGGAUAUUGCACAAUGGGGGGAACCCUGAUGCAGCGACGCCGCGUGGGUGAAGAAGUAUUUCGGUAUGUAAAGCCCUCUCGGCAGGGAAGAAAUUGGACGGUACCUGACUAAGAAGCCCUGGCUAACUACGUGCCAGCAGCCGCGGUAAUACGUAGGUGGCAAGCGUUGUCCGGAUUUACUGGGUGUAAGGGGCGUGUAGCCGGGCCGGCAAGUCAGAUGUGAAAUCCCAAGGCUCAACCUUGGAACUGCAUUUGAAACUGUUGGUCUUGAGUAUCGGAGAGGCAGGCGGAAUUCCUAGUGUAGCGGUGAAAUGCGUAGAUAUUAGGAGGAACACCAGUGGCGAAGGCGGCCUGCUGGACGACAACUGACGGUGAGGCGCGAAAGCGUGGGGAGCAAACAGGAUUAGAUACCCUCGUA
rnacentral:rRNA from 1 species